UCCGUAGGCGGGCUAUUAAGUCAGGGGUGAAAGUUUGCGGCUCAACCGUAAAAUUGCCUCUGAUACUGAUAGUCUUGAAUUAGUGUGAAGUGGUUAGAAUGAGUAGUGUAGCGGUGAAAUGCAUAGAGAUUACUCAGAAUACCGAUUGCGAAGGCAGAUCACUAACACUAUAUUGACGCUGAGGGACGAAAGCGUGGGGAGCGAACA
rnacentral:rRNA from 1 species